CAUGAUCAUAAGCUAGUGAAUUUGAGAUCGCUGGAGGAGGAGUAUCUGUAUCUUAACCUUCAUUAUAUGAUAGUUGCUACACUGAAAACUGACAAGGUGCGUGUUGGCCGAGCCAAGUGAAGAGCCCCCAGCUGAUGUUUGUUCUGUUGACUGGUGGACUCGAGGAAAGAUGCCGCUUGCAGAGCUAAAUUCAAAGGCUAAGGUUUGAUUUUUUUCCUCUGUUUUCUAUCUUUGGUCAUUGUAGCUGAAACCAAAGACUGAUUUUGGAGUUGUGAUGUUGAUUGAGAGUCAUUGGCAAGUUCCCUUGCGCUUAGGAUGGCUGGUGUUACGAGUUUAACGAAAGAUCCAGUUGGUGGAACCAUAAUGAGGAUGCCUAGUGGCGAGCCGACAGAUCUUUUGAUAGAUGCUGCUAUGGAGCUUGUCACUCCCUGGGUUAAAGAAAUCUCUGUAGAAGAACGUAGGGAAGCACUUAUAAGAGCUAGCAAAUAUGCUUUGACUAGAGGCGUAACAACUGUCGUUGAUCUUGGAAGAAGAUGAUGAUAGGGACUUGCUUGUUUUUCCCGACAACGACAUGGUCACGCUUAAUGGUAUGAUUUCUUCAGAAGCAACUCUUGUUCUCUGAUAGAGUAUAUGUACAAUCAGUUUUGUGCUGCUUUACAUGAGAAACUUAAGCAUAUUUUAUAGCAUUCUUCAA